AAUAUUUUAAAACAAUGUAAAUGUGUAAAUGAAUUCUGACUACGCACGGUGUUAAAAUAUCUCCAAAAGAAACUGUACUAAAACACAAAUCAAAGGUAAACAAAUAUUGCGCUCUUUCUCUUCUGCUAAAAAUGCAUACAUUUUAUAUUAAAUUUACAAGCAAAAGCAGAACUAGAGAACAAACACAAAGCGUUCCUCUUGAUGGGUCUAAUGUUUUUGGAGACAAAUUUUUAAAAAGCUCAGUUGAGAAGUCCUCUUGUAUUUAGUGUUCUUGCUUUCAAAGAGCAAGAGACUUCAUCGCUGUCAAUUUGGGAAGUCAUUCCGGAUGGUCUUGCUUAUGAAGGGAGCUCUACUCUUUCGAUGUCACACGUUGCUGCUAAUCGACUAAACGUUGUUGCUAAUCGACGAGCAUAUGAGC